rnacentral:tmRNA from 1 species
GGGGCCGUAACGGUUUCGACGUGUUGGUGAAAUCCGUAUUGUGAUACAGGCCGAGAGUGAGUCUUCUCUCGCAAAUACCGGGCUCAAAAAAAAGUAACUGCGAACAACAUCGUUCCUUUCGCUCGUGUUAAGGCAGCAGCUGUUGCCUAACAAAAACCUCUAACAGGUUCGAGCAUCUGGCGUUUGACUCCGUUAAGGACGACAGAUUUAACCCCAACGGAUGCUCCCGCUAGCGGCCUCUAGUCUGCUAGUUGGCUAAGACUUUACUAGGGAAUCCUGUCGCCAGGGAUAAUUGGCGGUUCCCGCCUCGAGGGUCAGAGAGGCUAAGCCUGUGAAGGAGCGAGAGGUCAAUAGCCAUCGCGGACACGGGUUCGACUCCCGUCGGCUCCAUUG